rnacentral:rRNA from 1 species
UAUUGCACAAUGGGGGAAACCCUGAUGCAGCGAUGCCGCGUGGAGGAAGAAGGUUUUCGGAUUGUAAACUCCUUUUAUCAGGGACGAUAAUGACGGUACCUGAAGAAAAAGCUCCGGCUAACUACGUGCCAGCAGCCGCGGUAAUACGUAGGGAGCGAGCGUUGUCCGGAAUUACUGGGUGUAAAGGGAGCGUAGGCGGGACGGCAAGUCAGAUGUGAAAACUGAGGGCUCAACCUUCAGACUGCAUUUGAAACUGCUGUUCUUGAGUGAAGUAGAGGUAAGCGGAAUUCCUAGUGUAGCGGUGAAAUGCGUAGAUAUUAGGAGGAACACCAGUGGCGAAGGCGGCCUGCUGGACUGUAACUGACGUUGAGGCUCGAAGGCGUGGGGAGCAAAC